GGUGUGUGAUUGAAAGUGAAGGUGAGUUUGACAGGUGUGGAAAGGUGAGUGAACAGGUGUGUGAAAGUGAAAGGGGCAGGUGUGUGAUUGAAGGUGAAAGUGAAGGUGAGUUUGACAGGUGUGGGAAGGUGAGCUUGACAGGUGUGUGAUUGUGAAGAUGAGUGAGUUGACAGAUAUGUGUUAAAGGAAGGAAGGAAAACAUGAGAGAAGAAAGGAAAGAAUGAUUGAAGGAAAGGUGAGGGAGGUGUCAAGUGUGAAGAAAGGAAGGCAGGAAAAAAAAUAGAAAGAAGGUAGGAAGGAAGGAAGAAAAUGAGAGAAGAAAGGGAGGAAGGAAAUGUGAAGGAGAGGACAGAUGUGUGAAAAAGGAAGGCAGGAAAAAAAUGAGAGAAGGAAGGGAAACUAAGGAGAGGGAGAUGACAUAUGUGUGAAGAAGGGAGACAGGAAUAAAAUGAGAAAGAAGGAAGGAAGGAAAGGUGAAGGAGAGGACAGAUGUGUGAAAAAGGAAGGCAUAAAAAAAAGAGAGAAGGAAGGAAAAUUAAGGUAAGGGAGAUGACAGGUGUGUGAAGAAGGAAGGCAGGAAAACAGUGAGAGAAAGACAGAGGGAAGGAAGGAAAGAAAGAAGGAAGGAAGGAAGAGUGAGGGUAUAGGCAGAUGUGUGAUUGUGAAGUGUUCAAGUAUCUCCUAAAAAAAUUACAGGCAGUGCUUUUUUAUAUAUGACCAAAACAACAAAACUGAUUACAAUUGAUUAGAAAGGAGGACGAGGAGAUGUCAGUAUGAUGUUGGGUCUUAUCACCAUCAACACCACUGCUUUCCCUAUCACCACCCACCACCACUACCCACAUCACCACUAAUUCCACCUCCACCCAUCACCACUACCUCCACCACCACCGGAAGGCAGUAAAUAGCACCCAUCACCACCCCUAUCACCACCAUUCUACCCAUCACCACUUAGGGUUUCUUUAUACUCAGCUAACUCACCAUCCAUUCACCACCACAAUCACCACUUACCCAUCUGAUACUAAUACAGCAUGUGACACCAUUAUACGAUUUUGUCAAGUUAGGAUGUCGCUCACUGCCUCUAUUAAUCACCG